rnacentral:tRNA from 1 species
GGCUGUAGCUCAGUUGGUAGAGCAUUUGCUUAGCAUGUGUGAGGCGCUGGGUUCGAUCCUCAGCACCA